rnacentral:rRNA from 1 species
UACGUAGGGGGCAAGCGUUAUCCGGAUUUACUGGGUGUAAAGGGAGCGUAGACGGCAGCGCAAGUCUGGAGUGAAAUGCCGGGGCCCAACCCCGGAACUGCUUUGGAAACUGUGCAGCCCGAGUGCAGGAGAGGUAAGCGGAAUUCCUAGUGUAGCGGUGAAAUGCGUAGAUAUUAGGAGGAACACCAGUGGCGAAGGCGGCUUACUGGACUGUAACUGACGUUGAGGCUCGAAAGCGUGGGGAGCAAACAGG